GGGCUUAUGGUCUAGGGGUAUGAUUUUCCCUUCGCAUGGGAAAGGUCCGGGGUUCAAUUCCCCGUGAGUCCA